AUAAAAUUACACAGCUCUUCGCUAAUAUAUAGUUUCGUAUAAUUACAUAUUACAUAUACUUUUUAUACACAAAAUUACAUCGUACUUAUUACAAUUGUCGAAUUUCCCGCGAUCGAAACGCGGUAUACUUUUUCGGUUGUACAUUAAAAUAUAUAAAACAAAUAUUCGUUAAUUUUAAAAAAUAUACCUAUAAUAUUAUUAUGUGUACGACGGCGUACGUUUACGCGACGUUUUCUUGUAUCGUCACAACAAAAACCGACUAAACGAACGAAUUGUCAAACGUGUAAAGUAUACCUAAAUUAUUAUAACACUGAGGAAACGGGGUAAAAAAAAAAAAACAACAAUAUUAUUAACAAAUUUCAAAUGUCGCGCGUCCUUUGCUCGGAACUACCGUUCAGCCGAAAUGAUAAUCCGUAGCAACAGCGCGGGUAAAUACCGUCAUAACACAUACCGCAGGUGUCUGCGGUGUACCGCGCACGUUCUCGAAACCGAGACCUUUCGACGCGGAAUCGUGUUUGCGUGACGCGAACGCCGGAAAAAAAAAAACAAUAAUGUCUCCGGGUGCUUUUGCGAAAGAGAAAACAAAUGACCCGACGCGGGUUUUUGAUUUUCCCACUGCCGUCAAUCGAUUUGCUGUUCCAAACGUGGUGCUUCGGACGGGUUUCCAUCGGUCUGCGUUCGCCGCUGCGCGCAGUCUGUAUGUCAGUUAUGGUCGGGCGAUGAUAAUAAACCGCGGAAAUCGAAUUUCGGUGUUGUACGUUACAUCGCUUAUAGCCGUGUGAAUAACGAACGUGUCUGGGGAACGGUUUGCUUUUGAGCUCGUCGCGGCGUUAUUAUGCAUAGGAACUACUAAACACUGUCCGAUAUUGGAAACUGUUUCAAACGAAUAUCGUCUAUUCUCGAAUAUGCUGGACGACUCGACGUACACAAUAAUAUCAUACCGAUAGCCGAUUCUUCGGGUUGUUACGGGCCAGUGGUGGAUCCAUAUUAUUGUAACUUAAAGGUGAGAACGUUGUCUGCGCGGUAGUGCGUUGGGGUCGUUUUUUUUGUUUUUCGAUAUUUUAAUUUUUAAGCGAGACACGAGCCAUCGCGAAACAUCACAAUUUGAAAAAAUUUGCACCUUGCUUGGAAAUCAAAAUAUCGAAAAAAGAACUAACGUGCGAACACAGGCGAUAAUCUGAACUUUAAGUUCGACAAUAGGUUUGAAAUGUAUUGAAAUUAUCAGCGAAAAAAAAUAAUGGCUGUACCGAACGAAAAUUAUACGAUGACAACAAUACUAAAUCAAAUUAAUAAACGAAUCUUUUCGUAUGUUUUUAAAAGCGGCAAACAAAUUUCAAUUAGGGUUCGGAACUUAUAGCACUUAAAAUUAACGAAAAAGCGCUUAAAAUUUUUAUUACAGCCCUGAAAUACGUACUUAAAAAUAAUAAAAAAAAAACAAACAGAACUAGUAGAAAGCGUUUUUGUGGAUUUGUAUCGCGAAUAGAUGACCGACACAAGUGGAUGAGAUAAUGUGAACAAAGACAUAAGAGUUCAAUAAUAGAAUACAAAAGCGAAAUUAUUCAAAAAUCAUAGGGAGUGAAAAAUCUGGGUUUUGUCAGUGGCUUACGUAAUCACAUAGUUGAAAAUAUGCAAAAAUCAGGAAAAAACAACAUAAAUAAUAAUAAUAAUAAUAAUAAAAGGAUUUUCAAAUUUCACGUUUUAACUUUUUGUAACGUGACACGAAUUUCUACUGUACUAUGUUAUUAGAUUUAAAGACACGCACAAAAAAAAAAAAAAAAUAAAAUAAACAAACCAAGCAAACGCUCAUAAGUCCCGGAAUCUCGUGACGCGAUUGGAAAAUAUCGUAAUCACGAGUCGGCAAAAAGUAUAAAACGGAUGUCGGAGUCUUAUUGGCGUGAAUCCCCCAGCAUUGUUUUCGGGGUCGAUGGGUAAUUUGGAAAAAAAACGCCGGACGAUAAGAGCUCGACACGUUACAACACCGUGUUUGGUGUACACAUUAUAAUGUUAAAAACAGUUAAUUGUUUGUUUUCGCGGUGGGCGGGUACCCGUGUACAUAAAUCACAUUUUACCCCGGGAGUGUUUCAGCAGCGACGGGUUACGGCGAUUGGGGGGAGGGGA
rnacentral:lncRNA from 1 species